AGCUCCAAUAGCGUAUAUUAAAGUUGUUGCGGUAAAAAGCUCGUAGUUGGAUUUCUGUUGAGGACGACCGGUCCAUACCACGUAUGCGUAUCUGGGUCGGCCUCGGCAUCCUCUCGCUGGACGUUUUUGUGCUUGAUUGCAUGAGGCGGACAACGGGACUUUUACUUUGAGGAAAUUAGAGUGUUUACGGCAGGCUAUCGCCCGAAUACAUUAGCAUGGAAUAAUACUAUAGGAUCUUGAUUCUAUUUUGUUGGUUUCUAGGAUUGAGAUAAUGAUUAAUAGGGACAAUUGGGGGCAUUCGUAUCAACACGUCAGAGGUGGAAUUCUUGGAUUGUGUUGCGACGAACUACUGCGAAAGCAUUUGCCAAGGAUGUUUUCA
rnacentral:rRNA from 1 species